CGUUCCGAGGGUGUUGGCUGCAUUAAGUCACCUAGCACGCUCUCUGUGGGUACCAUCACCAGCUCCACUUUAUGGCUGAGGAAGCUGAGCUGCAGAGCAGUGAGGUGGCCUGCCCAGCAUCACACAGGGAUAACUGCAGUCUCAGAGAAGACCCCCAGAAACCCAAAAUGCUUCCAGCCACAGAGGAGGAGAGCAGCUGGCAGCCAGAAGCAUCCAUUCCAACUGAGAGACAUCGAAGGGAACAAGGCUUAACCGCCUUGUCUUUGAACAGCACUAAAUGAUUCAGCAAAAGGGAUGAGAGGAAACCUUUGGCCAUGUCACGGGUUCACAGCCAUCUGUAUAUGUUCCUAUAGUCCUGCUUUGUACCUCCAGCCUAAAUGAUGGGGAGGUCGUUUGAAGAUGAGACUGACCCUUCACUACAUGUGCUGCUUCCAACCCCAGAUUCCAUCAGGCUGCACUUCUGAGAUUCAGUGAACUCCCACUCAUCCUUCAAAACCUAUCUCAAUGUCGCUGCCAUAGCAAAGCCUUCCCUGGCCCCCUCGGGUAGGGAGGGUCUCUCUGUCCACUGGCAGGCCAAGAAGGCCAAGCUCUGCCCUCUGAGAAUCCAUCAGUGUCCCAAGCUGACUUUCCCUAGCCUCGUAUCCCUUCAUUCCAUGAAAGGGGAACUUAGGGUGGAGUGGAAAUUUUGAUCACCUAAAGGAACAAUAAUUGCUUUCAUUCAUUCAUUUAAACAAUAUGUAUUGAGCACCUACCAAGGACCAGGCCUUGUGCUAAGUGCCCCCACAGAGGUCACAAUAGUCAUAUACUACAAACAAAUACAGCAUCACAAAGGUUGGCGCAUGAAGAGACAGCAGCUAAGGGCAUGGUCCUGGAGCCAGAAUGCCUGGAUUUGAAUCACAGCUCUACUACUUCCCAGCAGCUUGUUGAGCUUAGCCAAGUCUCUAAACCCCUCUGAGCCUCAGCUUUAUCACCUGUAAAAUAGGGAUAAAAGCAGCAUCUGCCCUAUUCAUCUGUUCACAGGAAUACAUGGCCUAUGGAGGGAAAGUACCCAGGCUCCUGAGUGGGCCCUCCUGGCCCACGGCAGAAGCCGUGUGCAUGUCUGUUCAACAGAUACCUUUGGUGGCCUGUAUGUACCAGGCGCUUCUCUUCCCUGCUGGUCAAGGAAGGCUCACGGUGGAAUAGGAUUUAGCCCCGGGAGAGACAGCAGGGGCAUUCUAAAGACAUCGACUAGCUGGCAUCCUGUGCCAGGCAUCCCAACCUUUUGCGCAUCGCGGCUCACCUGGAAAAGACAUGGGGGUGAGGAAGGAGGUGCCACCUGCAUGAGGCAUGGCAGAAAAGCAUGACAUCACCUUUAUAGUGCAAAGCUUGACAGGAAGAAUAAGAUACAAAGUACUUAAAGAAGAUAAUCGAUAUUGGAUGUGUAUUAAAUUUCCAAGGAAAAUAUUUUUAAAUAUGUAAAUUAAUCUUGAGUUGGCUUCUACAAGCAUAACUUUUUUUUUCUUUUUUUUUUAUUUUGAGACAGAGUCUCGUUCUAUCACCCAGGCUGGAGUGCAGUGGUGUGAUCUCAGCUUACUGCAACCUCCGCCUCCCGGGUUCAAGUGAUUCUCGUGCCUCAGCCUUUUGAAUAACUGGGAUUAAAGGCGCACAACACCAUGCCUGGAUAACCUUUGUAUUUUUAGUAGUGGCGGAGUUUCACCGUAUUGGCCAGGCUGGUCUCAAACUUCCAACCUAACCGGGACCCACCCUGAUCUGCCUGCCUUGGCCUCCCAAAGUGCUGGGAUUACAGGUGUGAGCCACCGCACCCAGCCUUACAAGCAUAAAUUUUUUUAUACCAAUGUACCAGGUUUCAUGCUUGAGCUGACUAAGCACAGUCCGGGAUCAGGAAUGUUUUUCAGGGGUCAGUCCUUUGGGUUCCUGACAGUCACCACUGAUGAGAAGUGGCCGGGCAGGCAGCAGUGGAUGAGGACCACCUGUGGCACUACAGAGAGCCCUCUGGUGGCAGGUGGGAUGUCGACUGGGCACAGCUGCUGUGACUGAGUCUGAAAGGUGACAGUGGUGCCAAAGUUACCUUCCAAUAAAAUUUCAACUGUUGCACAUUUUUGAA